AGACCGCCAGCUAAGGUCCCAAAGUCAUGGUUAAGUGGGAAACGAUGUGGGAAGGCCCAGACAGCCAGGAUGUUGGCUUAGAAGCAGCCAUCAUUUAAAGAAAGCGUAAUAGCUCACUGGUCGAGUCGGCCUGCGCGGAAGAUGUAACGGGGCUAAACCAUGCACCGAAGCUGCGGCAGCGACGCUGAUGCGUUGUUGGGUAGGGGAGCGUUCUGUAAGCCUGUGAAGGUGUGCUGUGAGGCAUGCUGGAGGUAUCAGAAGUGCGAAUGCUGACAUAAGUAACGAUAAAGCGGGUGAAAAGCCCGCUCGCCGGAAGACCAAGGGUUCCUGUCCAACGUUAAUCGGGGCAGGGUGAGUCGACCCCUAAGGCGAGGCCGAAAGGCGUAGUCGAUGGGAAACAGGUUAAUAUUCCUGUACUUGGUGUUACUGCGAAGGGGGGACGGAGAAGGCUAUGUUGGCCGGGCGACGGUUGUCCCGGUUUAAGCGUGUAGGCUGGUUUUCCAGGCAAAUCCGGAAAACUAAGGCUGAGGCGUGAUGACGAGGCACUACGGUGCUGAAGCAACAAAUGCCCUGCUUCCAGGAAAAGCCUCUAAGCAUCAGGUAACAUCAAAUCGUACCCCAAACCGACACAGGUGGUCAGGUAGAGAAUACCAAGGCGCUUGAGAGAACUCGGGUGAAGGAACUAGGCAAAAUGGUGCCGUAACUUCGGGAGAAGGCACGCUGAUAUGUAGGUGAAGUCCCUCGCGGAUGGAGCUGAAAUCAGUCGAAGAUACCAGCUGGCUGCAACUGUUUAUUAAAAACACAGCACUGUGCAAACACGAAAGUGGACGUAUACGGUGUGACGCCUGCCCGGUGCCGGAAGGUUAAUUGAUGGGGUCAGCGCAAGCGAAGCUCUUGAUCGAAGCCCCGGUAAACGGCGGCCGUAACUAUAACGGUCCUAAGGUAGCGAAAUUCCUUGUCGGGUAAGUUCCGACCUGCACGAAUGGCGUAAUGAUGGCCAGGCUGUCUCCACCCGAGACUCAGUGAAAUUGAACUCGCUGUGAAGAUGCAGUGUACCCGCGGCAAGACGGAAAGACCCCGUGAACCUUUACUAUAGCUUGACACUGAACAUUGAGCCUUGAUGUGUAGGAUAGGUGGGAGGCUUUGAAGUGUGGACGCCAGUCUGCAUGGAGCCGACCUUGAAAUACCACCCUUUAAUGUUUGAUGUUCUAACGUUGACCCGUAAUCCGGGUUGCGGACAGUGUCUGGUGGGUAGUUUGACUGGGGCGGUCUCCUCCUAAAGAGUAACGGAGGAGCACGAAGGUUGGCUAAUCCUGGUCGGACAUCAGGAGGUUAGUGCAAUGGCAUAAGCCAGCUUGACUGCGAGCGUGACGGCGCGAGCAGGUGCGAAAGCAGGUCAUAGUGAUCCGGUGGUUCUGAAUGGAAGGGCCAUCGCUCAACGGAUAAAAGGUACUCCGGGGAUAACAGGCUGAUACCGCCCAAGAGUUCAUAUCGACGGCGGUGUUUGGCACCUCGAUGUCGGCUCAUCACAUCCUGGGGCUGAAGUAGGUCCCAAGGGUAUGGCUGUUCGCCAUUUAAAGUGGUACGCGAGCUGGGUUUAGAACGUCGUGAGACAGUUCGGUCCCUAUCUGCCGUGGGCGCUGGAGAACUGAGGGGGGCUGCUCCUAGUACGAGAGGACCGGAGUGGACGCAUCACUGGUGUUCGGGUUGUCAUGCCAAUGGCACUGCCCGGUAGCUAAAUGCGGAAGAGAUAAGUGCUGAAAGCAUCUAAGCACGAAACUUGCCCCGAGAUGAGUUCUCCCUGACUCCUUGAGAGUCCUGAAGGAACGUUGAAG
rnacentral:rRNA from 1 species